CAAUCGUGUCCUUCUUUUCCGUCCGACAAAAACAGUAUUUUCAACAAGUGGCCCCCUACCGGCCCACGGCCCGUCUGUACGCGCACACACAAGAGUAGUGAAGGAGGGGGGAUGAAAAAAGAUCGGAACGAGAGACAGAAA
ensembl:ncRNA C04A11.8 ncRNA